UAAUAAUAAUAAUAAAAAAUAAUCCUAAGGAAAACAAUAGGCCUCUCGCCCUUUGGGCUUGAGCCCUAAUAAUAAUAAACGGAGCAAUUCCAAGAGGGUCCUCACACCAUCGGUGCUCGGGCCCUAAUUAAAGCUGCAAGCAGCGAUGAACGGGCCCUCGCACCCGGGCUCACCGCCAUCGUGUGGCUUUAGUAAAAAGGUGAACGUUGAGAAAUAUGCAUUUAAUGUCCUAAAUAUAAGUGGAAUAUAUCAAAGUAUAUCCCAUAUAUGUGCCAAUCUUACCGUUGCCAGCAGGUGGCGCUAUCAUUAUAAUGGAAUAUUGGCCUUCAGAGGUGUUCAGGCCAGGACUCUUAUCAAACAUGUGAAGUUUGGGGAAGAUUGAACAUUUUAUGCUUGAGUUACAACAACUUCUCUUGCUGUGGCAAGACAUCAAAUUUUGUCAUGGCGCCAUGGAAACGCCCUUUAACAAAAACUCAAGAUCUCCAAAAGUUAACAUUGCACAGGCCUUUAGAUUAGACUGACCACAAAAUAUAUGUUAAUCUCAAAAUAAUUAUAGGAGUAGUUUGUUGCAGUGUAAAACAUGUCACUUCCUGUUGCCAAUAGGUGGCGCUAUGACUAUAACUGAAUGUGGGCAUGUAGAUCUGUUAAGGGCAGAAGUUUUAUCUAACAUGUGAAGUUUGGGGCAGAUUGGACAUUGUAUGUCUGAGUUACAGCAACUUCCUUUUUCAUGGCAAAACAUCGAAAUUUGUCAGGCAGCCAUGGACACGCCCUUUAACGAAAUCUAAAGAUCUUCGCAAUUUAACAUCGCAAAGGGCUUAAGAUUACACUGACCAGGUUUGGUGUUGAUCUGAAUAAAUCUCUAGGAGGAGUUCGUUAAAGUACAACCCCUGAAAAUGGCAAAAACAACGCCAAUUUUGCAGAGAAAAUUCUAAAUAUCCGACUUUCUGUUGGGAUUCGGAUUUCGUACCAAGAGACUUUUUUUGUAGGUAUUGGUGAGUUACAUGUGUAUACCGAUUUUUGUACAUGUACGUGAAACAUAGCUCGAGGCGCACUCUGUUGAAAGUGUAUAGGUGGCGCUAUCGAGCCAUUUUGCCACACCUGAUGGAAUUUUGGCCUUCAGAUGUGUUCAGGCCAGGACUCUUAUCACACAUGUGCAGUUUGGGGAAGAUCUGACAUUUUAUGCCUGAGUUAUAACAUCUUUUAUUCCCAUGGCGAGACAUCGAACUUCGUGACGGCGCAAUGGACACGCCUUUUAACGAAAACUCAAGAUCUUAACAACUUAACAUCGCACAGGCCUUUAGAUUAGACUGACCACAAAAAAUACAUUGAUGUCAUAAAAUUUCUAGGAGUAGUUCAUUGCAGUGUAAAAUAUGUCACUUCCUGUUGCCAAUAGGUGGCGCUAUGACUAUAACUGAAUAUGGGCAUGUCAAUCUGUUCAGGUCAGGAGUCUCAUCAAACAUGUGAAGUUUGGGGCAGAUUGGUCAUUGUAUGUCUGAGUUAUAGCAACUUCCUGUUUCAUGGCGAAUCAUCAAAAUUUGCCAGGCCGCCACGGACACGCCCAUUAACAAAAACUCAAAAGCUUCGCAAUUUAACAUCGCAAAGGCCUUCAGAUUAGGCAUACCAAAUUUGGUGUUGAUCUGAAUGAAUCUCUAGGAGGAGUUCGUUAAAAUACAACGCAUGGAAAUGACAAAAUUGACACAAAAUUUGCUCAUAAUAUUAGAAAUAACCGACUUCCUGUUGGGUUUCGGAUUUUGCUCCAAGAGACUUUUUUGUAGGUAUUGGAGAGUUACAUGUGUAUACCGAUUUUCAUACAUGUACAUGAAACGUAGCUCGAGGCGCACACCGUUGAACGUGUAUAGGUGGCGCUGUUGAGCCAUUUUGCCACACCCACUUCUGAAACCCAUAUCAGACGUAAAUUUUCGCCAGUUCUGAGGUGUGUGCAAAGUUUCAUGACUUUUCGAGCAUGUUUAGGCCCUCAAAAAUGCGAUUCAUCUUAGAGAAGAAGAAUAAUAAUAAUAAAUAUAGCUGCAAGCAGCGAUGGCGGGCUCAAGCCACCAAUGCCAUAACCCCCCCCCUUGGCAUCAGGUAAACUGUGCCCAGCGGGCACAUGCAUUCACAAUAUCCCUCUGGCAGUGAGGUUUUAAAGGAUACGGCAGUUAAAGGGUUAAUCCGAAUCAUCUAGACUUUAAAAUCACAUUCAC